GGGUUGUGAGGUUAAGCGACUAAGCGUACACGGUGGAUGCCCUGGCAGUCAGAGGCGAUGAAGGACGUGCUAAUCUGCGAAAAGCGCCGGCGAGGUGAUAUGAACCUUUGACCCGGCGAUGUCCGAAUGGGGAAACCCAGUGUGAUUCGUCACACUAUCGUUAACUGAAUACAUAGGUUAACGAGGCGAACCGGGGGAACUGAAACAUCUAAGUACCCCGAGGAAAAGAAAUCAACCGAGAUUCCCCCAGUAGCGGCGAGCGAACGGGGAGCAGCCCAGAGUCUGAAUCAGCUUGUGUGUUAGUGGAAGCGUCUGGAAAGUCGCACGGUACAGGGUGACAGUCCCGUACACGAAAAUGCACAGGUUGUGAACUCGAAGAGUAGGGCGGGACACGUGGUAUCCUGUCUGAAUAUGGGGGGACCAUCCUCCAAGGCUAAAUACUCCUGACUGACCGAUAGUGAACCAGUACCGUGAGGGAAAGGCGAAAAGAACCCCGGCGAGGGGAGUGAAAAAGAACCUGAAACCGUGUACGUACAAGCAGUGGGAGCACCUUCGGGUGUGACUGCGUACCUUUUGUAUAAUGGGUCAGCGACUUAUAUUCUGUAGCAAGGUUAACCGUAUAGGGGAGCCGAAGGGAAACCGAGUCUUAACUGGGCGUUAAGUUGCAGGGUAUAGACCCGAAACCCGGUGAUCUAGCCAUGGGCAGGUUGAAGGUUGGGUAACACUAACUGGAGGACCGAACCGACUAAUGUUGAAAAAUUAGCGGAUGACUUGUGGCUGGGGGUGAAAGGCCAAUCAAACCGGGAGAUAGCUGGUUCUCCCCGAAAGCUAUUUAGGUAGCGCCUCGUGAACUCAUCUUCGGGGGUAGAGCACUGUUUCGGCUAGGGGGCCAUCCCGGCUUACCAACCCGAUGCAAACUACGAAUACCGAAGAAUGUUAUCACGGGAGACACACGGCGGGUGCUAACGUCCGUCGUGAAGAGGGAAACAACCCAGACCGCCAGCUAAGGUCCCAAAGUCAUGGUUAAGUGGGAAACGAUGUGGGAAGGCACAGACAGCCAGGAUGUUGGCUUAGAAGCAGCCAUCAUUUAAAGAAAGCGUAAUAGCUCACUGGUCGAGUCGGCCUGCGCGGAAGAUGUAACGGGGCUAAACCAUGCACCGAAGCUGCGGCAGCGACACUAUGUGUUGUUGGGUAGGGGAGCGUUCUGUAAGCCGUUGAAGGUGUGCUGUGAGGCAUGCUGGAGGUAUCAGAAGUGCGAAUGCUGACAUAAGUAACGAUAAAGCGGGUGAAAAGCCCGCUCGCCGGAAGACCAAGGGUUCCUGUCCAACGUUAAUCGGGGCAGGGUGAGUCGACCCCUAAGGCGAGGCCGAAAGGCGUAGUCGAUGGGAAACAGGUUAAUAUUCCUGUACUUGGUGUUACUGCGAAGGGGGGACGGAGAAGGCUAUGUUAGCCGGGCGACGGUUGUCCCGGUUUAAGCAUGUAGGCGGAACGAUUAGGUAAAUCCGGUCGUUUAUUAACGCUGAGGUGUGAUGACGAGGCACUACGGUGCUGAAGUAACAAAUGCCCUGCUUCCAGGAAAAGCCUCUAAGCAUCAGGUAACAUUAAAUCGUACCCCAAACCGACACAGGUGGUCAGGUAGAGAAUACCAAGGCGCUUGAGAGAACUCGGGUGAAGGAACUAGGCAAAAUGGUGCCGUAACUUCGGGAGAAGGCACGCUGAUAUGUAGGUGAAGCCCCUGCGGGUGGAGCUGAAAUCAGUCGAAGAUACCAGCUGGCUGCAACUGUUUAUUAAAAACACAGCACUGUGCAAACACGAAAGUGGACGUAUACGGUGUGACGCCUGCCCGGUGCCGGAAGGUUAAUUGAUGGGGUUAGCGGCAACGCGAAGCUCUUGAUCGAAGCCCCGGUAAACGGCGGCCGUAACUAUAACGGUCCUAAGGUAGCGAAAUUCCUUGUCGGGUAAGUUCCGACCUGCACGAAUGGCGUAAUGAUGGCCAGGCUGUCUCCACCCGAGACUCAGUGAAAUUGAACUCGCUGUGAAGAUGCAGUGUACCCGCGGCAAGACGGAAAGACCCCGUGAACCUUUACUAUAGCUUGACACUGAACACUGGUCCUUGAUGUGUAGGAUAGGUGGGAGGCUUUGAAGUGUGGACGCCAGUCUGCAUGGAGCCGUCCUUGAAAUACCACCCUUUAAUGGCUGGUGUUCUAACGUAGACCCGUAAUCCGGGUUGCGGACAGUGUCUGGUGGGUAGUUUGACUGGGGCGGUCUCCUCCCAAAGAGUAACGGAGGAGCACGAAGGUUAGCUAAUCCUGGUCGGACAUCAGGAGGUUAGUGCAAUGGCAUAAGCUAGCUUGACUGCGAGAGUGACGGCUCGAGCAGGUGCGAAAGCAGGUCAUAGUGAUCCGGUGGUUCUGAAUGGAAGGGCCAUCGCUCAACGGAUAAAAGGUACUCCGGGGAUAACAGGCUGAUACCGCCCAAGAGUUCAUAUCGACGGCGGUGUUUGGCACCUCGAUGUCGGCUCAUCACAUCCUGGGGCUGAAGUAGGUCCCAAGGGUAUGGCUGUUCGCCAUUUAAAGUGGUACGCGAGCUGGGUUUAGAACGUCGUGAGACAGUUCGGUCCCUAUCUGCCGUGGGCGCUGGAGAAUUGAGGGGGGCUGCUCCUAGUACGAGAGGACCGGAGUGGACGCAUCACUGGUGUUCGGGUUGUCAUGCCAAUGGCACUGCCCGGUAGCUAAAUGCGGAAAAGAUAAGUGCUGAAAGCAUCUAAGCACGAAACUUGCCCCGAGAUGAGUUCUCCCUGAGACUUUAAGUCUCCUGAAGGAACGUUGAAGACGACGACGUUGAUAGGUCGGGUGUGUAAGCGCAGCGAUGCGUUGAGCUAACCGAUACUAAUGAACCGUGAGGCUUAACCUUACAACGCCGAAG
rnacentral:rRNA from 1 species